GACGAACGCUGGCGGCGUGCUUAACACAUGCAAGUCGAACGGAAAGGCCCUGCUUUUGUGGGGUGCUCGAGUGGCGAACGGGUGAGUAACACGUGAGUAACCUGCCCUUGACUUUGGGAUAACUUCAGGAAACUGGGGCUAAUAACGGAUAGGAGCUCCUGCUGCAUGGUGGGGGUUGGAAAGUUUCGGCGGUUGGGGAUGGACUCGCGGCUUAUCAGCUUGUUGGUGGGGUAGUGGCUUACCAAGGCUUUGACGGGUAGCCGGCCUGAGAGGGUGAGCGGCCACAUUGGGACUAAGAUACGGCCCAGACACCUACGGGAGGCAGGAGUGGGGAUUAUUGCACAAUGGGCGGAAGCAUGAUGCAGCAACGCCGCGUGCGGGAGAACGGCCUUCGGGUGGUAAACAGCUUUCGCCUGUAACGAGGCGUUAGUGACGGUAUUUGGGAAAGAAGCACGGUCUAACUACGU
rnacentral:rRNA from 1 species